UUCGAUGUCACGGUCGAGCCCUACUACCCAGACACAGUAUUCAGACAAUUCGGGUAUCACCAACACUUCCCCCUGCUACGACUAUCGAUGGACAACACUCACUUGAUAACGAGGAAGGGUCAGGGCAUCGCGUACGAUGCAACUUGGAGGGGUAAGUUGAAGGCGUGGGUGGAUGAGUGGGUGGACAUGGCUGCACACGUCCACAUCCCCAGCGGGCCUUAUGACCCUAGGAUGGAGGAUGCGUACCUGCACUGGUUUCACGAAGUGAUGCGGAUUAGGUGCUUCCCUGUGCCUCCAGAGCCACCACAGCAUGAGCCGGAGGUCACCGACAUGUUCGCUACAGAGCCCGUGGCGGCGUACCACGCAAUGAUACGUGAGGCUAUUUCAUUGUACUGACUUUCAUUCUCAUUAUUACAUGUGUUCGCUCGGGCAUAGUAGGUGGACACGUGCAGGGACGUCGACAUGGAGUUAUUAGACUUCAUGGACCGCUGGGAGUCAGUCCCACUGCGGGUUGACCCGGGCGAGCUGAUGGCUGGUCUACAUCAGCUGGUAUGGUGUUGCCUUGACGGGUUUUGACGUGCUUCAUGCUAGAGGGUAUCGGAUAUCGUCGGGCCUACCACACAGAUGAGGUCGCUGUCACGCACACGAGCUAUGCCAACACGCUUCCACACGGAACCCGCCUCGUCGUCUCAGCCACCACCGCUGCAUUACAUGCCGACUAUGGGUUUCCACUUGGGUACUUCAGUUCCAGUUCCACCAUCCUUCGACGCAAGCAUCUGGCUCAUCGCUUUCCUUGACGAACAACUAGUUGACGAAGCCGGUCGGCGAGGAGGACCUGUCGUAGAUAGUGGGGGCACCUCCACUGAUGUAGCCAUCGCAGGCAGACCCUGCUACCCCUACAGAUGCUACACAGCCUCGCCACCCUUCGCAUGACCCCUUUAUGUUAUCCACCGACCAGGUGCAUCAUAGAGCAACUGCUAGAUGGAGGCCGGAGGGCGGCGCAUCAAGCGCACCCGUGGCCAUGGAGACACCCCCAUUGACUGCGCCAUUAAACAACACUUGUACAUGUUUAUGUUAUUUCUAUUAUGUGAUUGACAUGUCAUGUAGGAUGUUUA